rnacentral:lncRNA from 1 species
CGCAACUGCAACGACGCCUCGAUCCCCGGCGAGGCGGCGGCUUCCGGCGAGGUCCGGUGAAGGCAUGGGCAAGGGACGCCAGGAAUAGCGAGAUCCAGUCCGACAUGGCUGGAGCUAUCGGAGCCCAUGGCCGUCGGCGAACUCCAAGGUGCGGCGCUGCAGAUCGGGCGGCAGCGGCGGCAGUUUGGGCACCAGAGGCGGCAGCCUGGGC